rnacentral:rRNA from 1 species
UACGAACUGUGCAAACGUUAUUCGGAAUCACUGGGCUUAAAGGGUGCGUAGGCGGCUCGUUAGGUAGGGUGUGAAGGCCCCCGGCUCAAUCGGGGAAUUGCGCCCUAAACCGGCGGGCUGGAGUGAGAUAGGGGUGUGUGGAACUUCCAGUGGAGCGGUGAAAUGUGUUGAUAUUGGAAGGAACGCCGGUGGCGAAAGCGACACACUGGGUCUCAACUGACGCUGAGGCACGAAAGCCAGGGGAGCAAACGGG